AAAUAAAAUAAAAUAAAAUUCAGUCAGUUUAAUUCCACCACACACAAGAAAAUUUUAUCUUAAAAAUGGUCCUUACCUAAUAUCAGUGAUGAGGAAAAUCAGGUUUCGAUUAUGCGUAAUCUGUUUUGUUUUCAGUUUACGAAAAUGAAAAUUCCUACUUAAUUGGUUAAAAUAAAUAAAUGACUACUAAAUUAAAUUUUCCACCUUAUGUUGUGCGUGAGCUGGGUAUAGCUUUUAUCAAGCAUCUAUUUGUAGAGUUCUAUUUGGUCAUUUGAUUUUAGAUAUGUAGAGUAGAUAGUUUUUUGAAGGUUGAUUUGGAGAUUCAUGUGGAAUUUUCCUUGCAGCGUCAAGUCAAAUUUAAGGUAUGUUUUCCUGCAUCUACUCCUUUUUGAGGAUUUUACCAUGCGAUCUGCUAAUUUCUCUAUUGGUGUUAAAGUAUUUAGUCCUUUUUGUAAGCUUUAGGGUUCUUCAGUCACGGAUCUAAUGUGAUAUGGUGUUCAUCAAUGAUCUGUGAUCCACCCAGGACGAGUUUCCCAUGACUCGUGCUAAUUUUACAUUAAUUAGCUUCUAUUAUCUUACAUAACAAUCUCUCCUUCCCAAACAGAUGGAGGUGUUUUAUUCAGAGAAGGUUAACUGCGGUGAAUUAUGGCGUAAUUAGAAUUUAAAUAAAUGCAGUAUGAGUUACAACGUUUAUAGUUAAAUUGUUGUUGAAAUUUAGGGGAAAAAAAGAACUGGUUGAUUCAAGGCCAAAGCAGUGUUUCCAUCUGAUUUUAUCAAUGACAGUAGAUAAUAACUAAACGUGUUCAGAAAUCAUCAACCCAUUCGGGAUUUCGGAACACAGGUUUGAGACUAGUUCUUAGGUUGUUUAUGUUCAGUGUUCGUGAAAAUAAGUGGAAGAUCUAAUGGAUUGAGAAGGAUCUUACUCCCUUCAAAGUACAUGGUUGACAAAAGAGGUACUUAUGAUGCUGCUGAAGCAUCUUGUUACCAUCCAACAAGUGUAACUACGAUUCUGUAGUUUGGUCAUGUCGACCAUACAUGAUGUUUUUGACAUCAUAAAUUUCGUUGAUUUGUCUCACCUCAUUCAAAUAAAUCUGAAUGCUAUGUUUUACUUGAGGGAAUAGCAAACACUUUUCACUUCUAAUCCGGAAUCUAUCUUUUCCUAGUUAGUUCUAUAAACCUGUGCUUUCCUGGGAUUGAAUGAUUCCAUAAUUUUUUGUUUCUUGCCAGCACUAAAUGAGGAAGACUACAUGUGGGAUUUUCGUGAACAAUAUAUUUUUGGCAGUGUCAUUCUGAAAGCUAAGAGGGAACAGGUUCUUAAUUUAGAUGAAGUGUGUAUGAGUAAAAUUUAUGAGUCUUAUUUGAGUUUUGUUGCAACACAGGAAAGAACUAAAGGGUAAAGUGAAAAAUGUCAAAGUGGCUCAAUAACAUGCUUGAUACCAAUCAACAAAUUCUCUUAGAAUAGGAUUAGGUUAUCAGUAUCAUAGAUUUCAAAGGCCCAGUCAUUCCAGUGUUCUGAGAAAUUGAAGUUUGUUCAGGUUGGUUCGUUCCUUGUAGUCCAGUAACCUAUGUUAUUAGGUGGGUCAUCAUGGUCUCUUUGUCUCAGAUGUUGGAGUAGAAGGUUGAGAAAUGGAAAUAUGAAUAGAAGUCUUUUUAACAAGUUUUUAAGCCUAAUCUGCCUAGUAUUUGUUUUAUUCUUAUAGAAGAAAACUCCCUUCCUGAUGUUUUCAUUCUUCAGCUUAGAAGCUAUGGACUCAUAAAAUUUCAUUUACCUAUUUUCUGCUUCUGUUCCUAAGAGAAACCAUUAUGAUUGACAAAUUCAACAAUGAUCUUUGCUGACGUUAGAUACUUAUCACAAGAUAGGUUGGGGAUCUAUUCUAUCUCUAGACAUCUUGAACAAAUCCUUUUACCAUUUCCUACCUUUGAGCAGGUCUAACUUCUUGUCAUGUUUUACAUGGUUCUCUUCAUCAACAGUAUAUGUAUUGACUCAGCAUACUAACAACUGCAGUCGAUCUGUGUAGUGAUUAUUUUUCCCAUUAGCAUCAUUUACUUUCAUGUAGAAGCAGUGGCGGGGCCAGAAUUUUUAAUAAGGGGGUUCAAAAUCUGAGAAGUAAACACACGAACUAGUGGAAGUGGGUUCGACAUCUAUUAUACAUACCUAAAAAAUAAUUUUAAUCAUGUAUAAAUAGUAAUAUUUUCCGCCAAGGGUGUUCGGAUGAACCCCCUAGGUAUAUGCUGCCUCCGCCCCUGUGUAGAAGUGUAUUUGAAUGUGUUGCGCAAAGUUUAAACAGCUUUGUGAAAAAACUGUUCACUGUAAAGUAUUGCCUGGUAUAUACAGUAUAUAACAAAAAGGCAUAAUCAGACAAGAACGCUCGUAAGUCACGUUGUAUGUCAACUAAAUUAAGUUGCCAGUUAUUAACAAAUACAUAUUUCAGAAGAAAUUUCUGGUUUCGAUUUGUAAAUCUCCCCUUAAUAUUAACUGCAAUAGUGCGGCAUCUUAUUUGCAUCAAACAGUAAGCACAUACAGGGUUUUCCCACAAUGCCCAUGAAAAUUUGGACCUGGGUAUUGCAAAUAUUGGUUAGCUGACCAUAUUUACUAUGUUUUCAACAUUCCAGUCGCCAGAAGUAUCCAUGCCCUUUCAUAACUUUCUUGUAUAUAAGUAUUAUAACUCCUAAACUUUUGGUAGGGGAUGUGUUUGAUAGUUGGCAACUUCCUCUCCUGUCUAUCUCGGCUUCAACCAUCAAGAUUUUGAUAUGUCUCUUUAUUUCUGAUCAAAGGAAUGUCAUUUUGUUUUCCUGAAAAUCCUACAUAUUUUUAGCAGGAUUGAAAAAUCUUCUUCCUAUUACUCAAACAAGCAAGAAAACUAUGUAAUUUUGGGCUUUUCAGUGAAUAAACAUCUUGCUUGAUGUGAUUUGUGAGACCAAUAUGAAAUGAAUUUGUAAUCACAGUGCCUAUAGUCUUUAGGAUUUGGGAGCGGGAGCAGUUCAUGGAGUUUAAAGAUGUGUGUUGACUGCAUUGAUUAGUGGAUAUGCUUUUCUGAUUUUUUAUCUGCAGGGCUUUGCUAGUAAAUAUCGUGAUGAUCCAGGAUAUCCUAUAUUCAGAACUCUAUUGGUUGUGAAUAAUGUUAUCCAUUUUGUCACUUACUCAUUGCAUCACUCAGAAGGAAACAACUGUAGUCUUACAACUCUUCAUAAAUACACUCUCCAAAAUAGGGUACUUGAUGCUAUCAGUUUCUACGAACUUGCUUGCAAGAUCCCUUAUGCAUAGUCAUCUUUUGUUGGGAUGGGCAGGCACUGAACUGGCUCCUAAUUCUUCAAUAACAGAAUAACAUUUGUAUUUAGGACUGAAAGACUGAGCAGAUUUACGGUUUACCAUUCCCCACCUCCCUUUUGGGGCACUAUUAGAGAACUCAUUUAGUGUGUCAACUAAAGGUUCCAUCUAUUACUUGUAUUAUUUUCUCAAGGUCUUAAUUUAGAACUUUUGAAGCUAUGUCGUUGCCUGUCAUCCAACGUGUUUCUAUUAAAUCACUUAUGUUAACUCCUCCUUGGUGGUGCUAUCUCAGACUAGUUCAGAAGCCUGGAAACUGAAGUCCCGUUGUUACCAUGACAAGUUGGAUCCGACUAGGAGGUUAUCCAACUGAAUUCUAUCAAAAAUGAAAGGUAUAGAUUCUUCGUGUGAAAAAAUAAGAGUUGACAGGUUAAGUCAACAGUGUGAAUAGCAUUCAUAAGGACAGGAUAAGAAAAGGCAUAUGCUCAAUGGAGUGCUCAACAGAAGGGUGCAUGUUGAACAGCAACAGUGACCCAAACAAAACUUUGGUCCAGGUAAAGUGAACUAUGGAAUAUGGAGCAAGUACUGUCACCGGGCAUUUGGCAUCAAAAAGAGCAAAUUUCUGAGACAAGAAGUCUCGUAGCAGCCUCUUGAGUUAGAAGAGCUAGUUUCUCUUUUCCAUGUGUGUGGCUUAAUGAUUUUUGAGGCUAUGGACCAUUGAACCAAUCCGUUGGAGCUUUCUCCACACACAUCUAAUAUUGCCAGUUGGUUUUCAUGAAGUGAAAAGACAUUUGCAAAUGAGAUAUUUGGUCAAGUACUUCGAGAGUAGUAAAAAUUGUUUUCAGAAGCUAGAACAAAAACAAUUUUUGCUUAAAAGUAUUCUUUUGUUGUUGUGAAAAAUGCACUUAGAGAUGCUUUUUAAAAAUGUAGCCAGAACACUAAUUGUUGCUCAAAAUUACUUCUUAUAUUGAACAGCAAAACACAAAAUCUUUGUUUUAUUUUCCCAAAGCAGGCGAUUCAGUAAAUUUGAAUUGCUUGAGUUCCAGGGAUUCUUGAUACAUUACAUCAGUAUUAUGUUUGUUUGGCUGUUUCAAAUUUGUGCUAAUUGUCUUUUCAUAUAGAAGUGUGUUCACUUCAUCAGAGCUAGAGAACAAUGUCAAAGUAAAAGCAGUAAAGAAAUAAGAAGUUGAAACAGAAGAUCCAUAUGAGAUUACUUCUUGGGGUUCAUAGAGACUACAGCUUUGUUCUACAAACUCAGUCAUCAGUCUGCACUGUACAAGUUACUUCUUCUAUCCUUACUAAACACUGAAUCAGCAGGUGUUCUGUAUACAAGCAAAAAAUAAACCCAAAAUGUUUGUUGUCAGUCCCCCAUUUGUAACAUCCUACCUACCACUACUCUGUAGUUAGCUAAAACCUCUCAAUUUCCUAAUCUUGAACUAGUCAUACUUCUUAAAAGCUAAAACCCAGCCAAACUGUGAUAUCUUCUGUGCUGCUAAAACAGAUGCACAAAAAGCAGCCAGAGAAAAUACUAACAGAAGCACCAUAGCACUAUUCAAACCCAUUAAUGGCUUAGGUUGUAGGAGCUUCUUGUGCUGCUUCAACAUAAGGUGACUGUACACUAUCCUCAUCAGAAUCACUCCCAGAAGAACUUCCUGAAUCUGUAAAUAUUAACCAUGGCAAAAGUAAAUAUACCAUCACACUUGUUAACCAGAAUGAACUAAAGAAAGAAAAAGUUAUACCACCGGAAGAAGAACCACUGCCAGAACUUGAGCCGCUAGAGCUGCUCGGAUCCUUGUCGAUCUGCACAGGAGGAAAGUUUUCACCUGGUAUUUCCUCACCAAUAUCAACAUCCUCCUCCACAACGUCCACUUUCUUGAUUUCAGGCAUUGCAUGUUCUGGUGUUGGUGCCUUCUCAGGCGACUUAUUUACAAAAAGCAACAUGGUGAUCAGCACACAUGGCACAAUAUAGAGUUACUUAACAAAUGUAUG